rnacentral:rRNA from 1 species
GGAAAGGCGCGCGAUACAGGGUGACAGCCCCGUACACAAAAAUGCACAUGCUGUGAGCUCGAUGAGUAGGGCGGGACACGUGGUAUCCUGUCUGAAUAUGGGGGGACCAUCCUCCAAGGCUAAAUACUCCUGACUGACCGAUAGUGAACCAGUACCGUGAGGGAAAGGCGAAAAGAACCCCGGCGAGGGGAGUGAAAAAGAACCUGAAACCGUGUACGUACAAGCAGUGGGAGCACAGAGCAAUCUGUGUGACUGCGUACCUUUUGUAUAAUGGGUCAGCGACUUAUAUUCUGUAGCAAGGUUAACCGAAUAGGGGAGCCGAAGGGAAACCGAGUCUUAACUGGGCGUUAAGUUGCAGGGUAUAGACCCGAAACCCGGUGAUCUAGCCAUGGGCAGGUUGAAGGUUGGGUAACACUAACUGGAGGACCGAACCGACUAAUGUUGAAAAAUUAGCGGAUGACUUGUGGCUGGGGGUGAAAGGCCAAUCAAACCGGGAGAUAGCUGGUUCUCCCCGAAAGCUAUUUAGGUAGCGCCUCGUGAAUUCAUCUCCGGGGGUAGAGCACUGUUUCGGCAAGGGGGUCAUCCCGACUUACCAACCCGAUGCAAACUGCGAAUACCGGAGAAUGUUAUCACGGGAGACACACGGCGGGUGCUAACGUCCGUCGUGAAGAGGGAAACAACCCAGACCGCCAGCUAAGGUCCCAAAGUCAUGGUUAAGUGGGAAACGAUGUGGGAAGGCCCAGACAGCCAGGAUGUUGGCUUAGAAGCAGCCAUCAUUUAAAGAAAGCGUAAUAGCUCACUGGUCGAGUCGGCCUGCGCGGAAGAUGUAACGGGGCUAAACCAUGCACCGAAGCUGCGGCAGCGACGCUGAUGCGUUGUUGGGUAGGGGAGCGUUCUGUAAGCCUGUGAAGGUGUGCUGUGAGGCAUGCUGGAGGUAUCAGAAGUGCGAAUGCUGACAUAAGUAACGAUAAAGCGGGUGAAAAGCCCGCUCGCCGGAAGACCAAGGGUUCCUGUCCAACGUUAAUCGGGGCAGGGUGAGUCGACCCCUAAGGCGAGGCCGAAAGGCGUAGUCGAUGGGAAACAGGUUAAUAUUCCUGUACUUGGUGUUACUGCGAAGGGGGGACGGAGAAGGCUAUGUUGGCCGGGCGACGGUUGUCCCGGUUUAAGCGUGUAGGCUGGUUUUCCAGGCAAAUCCGGAAAACUAAGGCUGAGGCGUGAUGACGAGGCACUACGGUGCUGAAGCAACAAAUGCCCUGCUUCCAGGAAAAGCCUCUAAGCAUCAGGUAACAUCAAAUCGUACCCCAAACCGACACAGGUGGUCAGGUAGAGAAUACCAAGGCGCUUGAGAGAACUCGGGUGAAGGAACUAGGCAAAAUGGUGCCGUAACUUCGGGAGAAGGCACGCUGAUAUGUAGGUGAAGUCCCUCGCGGAUGGAGCUGAAAUCAGUCGAAGAUACCAGCUGGCUGCAACUGUUUAUUAAAAACACAGCACUGUGCAAACACGAAAGUGGACGUAUACGGUGUGACGCCUGCCCGGUGCCGGAAGGUUAAUUGAUGGGGUCAGCGCAAGCGAAGCUCUUGAUCGAAGCCCCGGUAAACGGCGGCCGUAACUAUAACGGUCCUAAGGUAGCGAAAUUCCUUGUCGGGUAAGUUCCGACCUGCACGAAUGGCGUAAUGAUGGCCAGGCUGUCUCCACCCGAGACUCAGUGAAAUUGAACUCGCUGUGAAGAUGCAGUGUACCCGCGGCAAGACGGAAAGACCCCGUGAACCUUUACUAUAGCUUGACACUGAACAUUGAGCCUUGAUGUGUAGGAUAGGUGGGAGGCUUUGAAGUGUGGACGCCAGUCUGCAUGGAGCCGACCUUGAAAUACCACCCUUUAAUGUUUGAUGUUCUAACGUUGACCCGUAAUCCGGGUUGCGGACAGUGUCUGGUGGGUAGUUUGACUGGGGCGGUCUCCUCCUAAAGAGUAACGGAGGAGCACGAAGGUUGGCUAAUCCUGGUCGGACAUCAGGAGGUUAGUGCAAUGGCAUAAGCCAGCUUGACUGCGAGCGUGACGGCGCGAGCAGGUGCGAAAGCAGGUCAUAGUGAUCCGGUGGUUCUGAAUGGAAGGGCCAUCGCUCAACGGAUAAAAGGUACUCCGGGGAUAACAGGCUGAUACCGCCCAAGAGUUCAUAUCGACGGCGGUGUUUGGCACCUCGAUGUCGGCUCAUCACAUCCUGGGGCUGAAGUAGGUCCCAAGGGUAUGGCUGUUCGCCAUUUAAAGUGGUACGCGAGCUGGGUUUAGAACGUCGUGAGACAGUUCGGUCCCUAUCUGCCGUGGGCGCUGGAGAACUGAGGGGGGCUGCUCCUAGUACGAGAGGACCGGAGU